rnacentral:rRNA from 1 species
GAUGAACGCUGGCGGCGUGCCUAAUACAUGCAAGUCGAGCGAACAGACGAGGAGCUUGCUCCUCUGACGUUAGCGGCGGACGGGUGAGUAACACGUGGAUAACCUACCUAUAAGACUGGGAUAACUUCGGGAAACCGGAGCUAAUACCGGAUAAUAUAUUGAACCGCAUGGUUCAAUAGUGAAAGACGGUUUUGCUGUCACUUAUAGAUGGAUCCGCGCCGCAUUAGCUAGUUGGUAAGGUAACGGCUUACCAAGGCAACGAUGCGUAGCCGACCUGAGAGGGUGAGCGGCAACACUGGAACUGAGACACGGUCCAGACUCCUACGGGAGGCAGCAGUAGGGAAUCUUACGCAAUGGGCGAAAGCCUGACGGAGCAACGCCGCGUGAGUGAUGAAGGUCUUCGGAUCGUAAAACUCUGUUAUUAGGGAAGAACAAAUGUGUAAGUAACUAUGCACGUCUUGACGGUACCUAAUCAGAAAGCCACGGCUAACUACGUG